rnacentral:hammerhead_ribozyme from 1 species
AUUCAUCUGACGAGUCCCAAAUAGGACGAAGUGGCGGGCGUUCUGGAU